AGGUCUGCUUGAUCAUUUUGUUGUCCUGGAUGUGAGAACAUGGUCAAAAGCUGCCAGAGGAGGAUGAUGAUGGCAGUGGUGACCGAGGUGACAGUGCAGCUCAGGAUGAAGAAGAGGAGGAACAUUUUGUAAAAAUCCAAAGUGAAUAUAUAGAGACCAUCCUCCUAUCCUUGCCUCAGAAGAACCUGAGAAAGACCCUCUUCCUCUUCUCUCACAGCUCUCCAUCAUCUUCCUCCUCAACACUGUUGGCAAGAGUGUUAUACACAGCUGAGGACACGGUAAUGAGAGAUCUCAAAUUCUUCCUGAGAAAGUCCGCAUGUUCAUUUUCUUGAACAAAAACUGUACAUGUAUUUUUGGGUGGGCCAAACUAUUAUUUGAAGAGAUGCUAAAAAUCUUUAUAUUGUUCUUUAUACAUAUCUUUUACUCUUUAUGAAUGUCAUCUUCUGGAUUUUUUUAGCUUUUGAGAAGCUCAAGGACUGUAUAUCUUUGGUAAUUGUGAUAUUGUCUGGCAGUAAAACAGUAUUAAAGCAAAUUACCUCAGUAUAUUUGUAGCAGCUGCCUCAUACAGGACACUUAGGAAAUGGUUUAAAAUAUAUUUUUUGCAAAUAAAGUAAUAAAAUAUCUGCUGAAUCUUUUUCAUAUCUUUGUCAUUUUUGUGCCAAAUUAUGGAUAGUAGUAAUCAUAAGCAGGGUUCGAAAUGACUUAGGACUCUUGGGGGGUCCCCUAAAAUUUAAUUAUUAAAGGUCCCCCCCCCCCCCUACCUCUUAUAGAUUAAUAGUAAAUAGAUAUAUUUAGUUAUAUUUGUAUAUUAGAUAUAAUUAAUAAAUAGAUUGUCUCUUUCAGGGUCGUUAUGCACUCAUUAUUUUUGAGGGGGCACGAGUUAUUUAUUUAUUUAUUUUUUCAAACUGAAUUAUCAUGAAAUAUCUUAAUUCUCACCUUUAUAGAUUAUGAUCUAUAGUGGGCGAUGGUCAAAUUAACCUAAUAAUGUAAUAUGUAAAAUA